UUUAAUUCGAAGCAACGCGAAGAACCUUACCAGGUCUUGACAUCCGCUGACAAUCUUGGAGACAAGACGUUCCCUUCGGGGACAGCGUGACAGGUGGUGCAUGGUUGUCGUCAGCUCGUGUCGUGAGAUGUUGGGUUAAGUCCCGCAACGAGCGCAACCCUUGAUUCUAGUUGCCAGCAUUCAGUUGGGCACUCUAGAGUGACUGCCGGUGACAAACCGGAGGAAGGUGGGGAUGACGUCAAAUCAUCAUGCCCCUUAUGACCUGGGCUACACACGUGCUACAAUGGAUGGUACAAAGGGCAGCAAAGUCGCGAGGCUAAGCAAAUCCCAUAAAACCAUUCUCAGUUCGGAUUGCAGGCUGCAACUCGCCUGCAUGAAGCCGGAAUCGCUAGUAAUCGCGGAUCAGCAUGCCGCGGUGAAUACGUUCCCGGGCCUUGUACACACCGCCCGUCACACCACGAGAGUUGGUAACACCCGAAGUCGGUGAGGUAACCUUUUAGGAGCCAGCCGCCGAAGGUGGGAUCAAUGAUUGGGGUGAAGUCGUAACAAGGUAGCCGUAUCGGAAGGUGCGGCUGGAUCACCUCCUUUCUAAGGA
rnacentral:rRNA from 1 species